rnacentral:rRNA from 1 species
AACGAACGCUGGCGGCAGGCUUAACACAUGCAAGUCGAGGGGUAGUGGUUGCUUGCAGCCAUGAGACCGGCGCACGGGUGCGUAACGCGUAUGCAACCUACCUUCAUCUGGGGGAUAGCCCGGAGAAAUCCGGAUUAAUACCGCAUAAAAUCACAGUACGGCAUCGUACAAUGAUCAAACAUUUAUGGGAUGGAGAUGGGCAUGCGUGUCAUUAGUUAGUUGGCGGGGUAACGGCCCACCAAGACCGCGAUGACUAGGGGAUCUGAGAGGAUGACCCCCCACACUGGUACUGAGACACGGACCAGACUCCUACGGGAGGCAGCAGUAAGGAAUAUUGGUCAAUGGGCGCAAGCCUGAACCAGCCAUGCCGCGUGCAGGAAGACGGCCCUCUGGGUUGUAAACUGCUUUUAUUCGGGAAUAAACCUGCUUACGUGUAAGUAGCUGAAUGUACCGAAGGAAUAAGGAUCGGCUAACUCCGUGCCAGCAGCCGCAGUAACAC